UACGUAGGGUGCAAGCGUUAAUCGGAAUUACUGGGCGUAAAGCGUGCGCAGGCGGUUCGUUAAGUCAGAUGUGAAAGCCCCGGGCUCAACCUGGGAACUGCAUUUGAAACUGGCGGGCUUGAGUAUGGGAGAGGGGGGUGGAAUUCCGGGUGUAGCAGUGAAAUGCGUAGAGAUGCGGAGGAACACCGAUGGCGAAGGCAGCCCCCUGGGCCAAUACUGACGCUCAGGCACGAAAGCGUGGGGAGCAAACAGG
rnacentral:rRNA from 1 species